rnacentral:rRNA from 1 species
AUACGUAGGGUGCGAGCGUUGUCCGGAAUUACUGGGCGUAAAGAGCUCGUAGGUGGUUUGUCGCGUCGUCUGUGAAAUUCCGGGGCUUAACUCCGGGCGUGCAGGCGAUACGGGCAUAACUUGAGUACUGUAGGGGAGACUGGAAUUCCUGGUGUAGCGGUGAAAUGCGCAGAUAUCAGGAGGAACACCGGUGGCGAAGGCGGGUCUCUGGGCAGUAACUUCUGCUGGGGAGCGAAAGCAUGGGUAGCGAACAGGAUUAGAUACCCGGGUAGUCCAUGCCGUAAACGGUGGGCGCUAGGUGUAGGGGUCUUCCACGGCUUCUGUGCCGUAGCUAACGCAUUAAGCGCCCCGCCUGGGGAGUACGGCCGCAAGGCUAAAACUCAAAGGAAUUGACGGGG